AGCGAACGCUGGCGGCAGGCCUAACACAUGCAAGUCGAACGAACUCUUCGGAGUUAGUGGCGGACGGGUGAGUAACACGUGGGAACGUGCCUUUUGGUUCGGAAUAACUCAGGGAAACUUGUGCUAAUACCGAAUGUGCCCUUCGGGGGAAAGAUUUAUCGCCAUUAGAGCGGCCCGCGUCGGAUUAGCUAGUUGGUGAGGUAACGGCUCACCAAGGCGACGAUCAGUAGCUGGUCUGAGAGGAUGACCAGCCACACUGGGACUGAGACACGGCCCAGACUCCUACGGGAGGCAGCAGUGGGGAAUCUUGCGCAAUGGGCGAAAGCCUGACGCAGCCAUGCCGCGUGAAUGAUGAAGGUCUUAGGAUUGUAAAAUUCUUUCACCGGGGACGAUAAUGACGGUACCCGGAGAAGAAGCCCCGGCUAACUUCGUG
rnacentral:rRNA from 1 species